rnacentral:rRNA from 1 species
UCAUUAGGGUGCAAAGACACCUAAAGGCGCAAUGAAAUUGAAGGCUUGACUUGUCAAACCGAGGGAGGAUGGACGUGCAGUCCCUGUGGCGGCGUCCCGCACUCCCGGGGCGUCUCGUUCUCAUUGCGAGGAGAGGCGCACCCAGAGCGUACACGUUGGGACCCGAAAGAUGGUGAACUAUGCCUGGCCAGGACGAAGUCAGGGGAAACCCUGAUGGAGGUYCGUAGCGAUUCUGACGUGCAAAUCGAUCGUCAGAGCUGGGUAUAGGGGCGAAAGACUAAUCGAANNNNNNNNNNNNCCAUAUAGUAGCUGGUUCCCUCCGAAGUUUCCCUCAGGAUAGCUGGUGCUCGGAGGACGAAUCUCAUGCGGUAAAGCGAAUGAUUAGAGGCCUUGGGGCCGAAACGACCUCAACCUAUUCUCAAACUUUAAAUGGGUGAGACCUCAGGCAUGCUUGAAAAAAAAUCUUGAUGCCGGAGUCUCGGAUCCAGAGUACCAAGUGGGCCAAUUUUGGUAAGCAGAACUGGCGC